CCUACGGGAGGCAGCAGUGAGGAAUAUUGGUCAAUGGGCGCGAGCCUGAACCAGCCAAGUCGCGUGAAGGAUGACGGUCCUACGGAUUGUAAACCUCUUUUGCCGGGGAGCAAGCGUGCGUUCGUGAACGCGCGUCGAGAGUACCCGGAGAAAAAGCAUCGGCUAACUCCGUGCCAGCAGCGGCGGUAAUACGGAGGAUGCGAGCUUUACCCGGUUUCUUUGGGUUAAAGGGGUGCGUAGGCGGGAUGCCAGGUCAGCGGUAAAGAUGCGGGGUCCAACGCCGACGAGCCGUUGAAACUGGCGUUCUUGAGUGGGCGAGAAGUAUGCGGAAUGCGUGGUGUAGCGGUGAAAUGCAUAGAUAUCACGCAGAACUCCGAUUGCGAAGGCAGCAUACCGGCGCCCUACUGACGCUGAGGCACGAAAGCGUGGGUAUCGAACAGGAUUAGAUACCCCGGUAGUC
rnacentral:rRNA from 1 species